rnacentral:rRNA from 1 species
GACGAACGCUGGCGGCGUGCCUAAUACAUGCAAGUAGAACGCUGAAGAGAGGAGCUUGCUCUUCUUGGAUGAGUUGCGAGCGGGUGAGUAACGCGUAGGUAACCUGCCUUGUAGCGGGGGAUAACUAUUGGAAACGAUAGCUAAUACCGCAUAACAAUGGAUGACACAUGUCAUUUAUUUGAAAGGGGCAAUUGCUCCACUACAAGAUGGACCUGCGUUGUAUUAGCUAGUAGGUGAGGUAAUGGCUCACCUAGGCGACGAUACAUAGCCGACCUGAGUGGGUGAUCGGCCACACUGGGACUGAGACACGGCCCAGACUCCUACGGGAGGCAGCAGUAGGGAAUCUUCGGCAAUGGGGCAACCCUGACCGAGCAACGCCGCGUGAGUGAAGAAGGUUUUCGGAUCGUAAAGCUCUGUUGUAAGUCAAGAACGGGUGUGAGAGUGGAAAGUUCACACUGUGACGGUAGCUUACCAGAAAGGGACGGCUAACUACGUG